AGCGAACGCUGGCGGCAGGCCUAACACAUGCAAGUCGAACGAACUCUUCGGAGUUAGUGGCGGACGGGUGAGUAACACGUGGGAACGUGCCUUUAGGUUCGGAAUAACUCAGGGAAACUUGUGCUAAUACCGAAUGUGCCCUUCGGGGGAAAGAUUUAUCGCCUUUAGAGCGGCCCGCGUCUGAUUAGCUAGUUGGUGAGGUAAAGGCUCACCAAGGCGACGAUCAGUAACUGGUCUGAGAGGAUGAUCAGCCACAUUGGGACUGAGACACGGCCCAAACUCCUACGGGAGGCAGCAGUGGGGAAUCUUGCGCAAUGGGCGAAAGCCUGACGCAGCCAUGCCGCGUGAAUGAUGAAGGUCUUAGGAUUGUAAAAUUCUUUCACCGGGGACGAUAAUGACGGUACCCGGAGAAGAAGCCCCGGCUAACUUCGUG
rnacentral:rRNA from 1 species